CUGAUCUUAUUAGGAUGGAAGAGCUAUCAUAAAUAAGUGCAGUUCAUUACAUUAGAACCUUUCUCUGGAUGUGUUCUCAUCAUAAAAACAUUUGAAAUAAUAAGAUCUAUGGAUACUGCAUAUAUACUGAAAUUUCAUAGUUAUAUUAUAUAAGUAGAUAUUCUAAAAAUUUAGAGCAUGGUAACCCUGAGAAGCUUAUGAAGGAGUAAAGGAGGAAGAGAUAUUCCAGCCAAUUUCAUUUGUUUUUAUUUUCUUCCAGUCCUUUGCCACUUAGUAGUGGGCCUUCCAGGUCAGGACAAAAUCGCCUUAUCACCAUCUCGCAGGGACACGCCACACGCGCCCGUGAACCCAUGCUCCUUCACCUUAUCUCUUACUCCAGCCCACUGCCCUCACUUCAUUUCCUCUUCUCUGGAUCCCCUUCCUCGUCUAGCUCACUAGGGGUGCAGGUCGCAGUUGCAACACCAGCCGCAGGAAUCGGCGGGAUACGCUAGCCCUCAGUCCGGAUCGACGUCGAUGCCUCCGGCUCCGACAUGCACGCCCGCUGGACACCGCCGUGAACCACCUUGUUUCCCGCCUCUUGGACCGAGGUUGUCUUCGUCGGUUCCGUCGGCCGCCACUGCGGCACCGCGGUCAUCCUCCUCACCGAACAGCUCCAGGGACCAUGACGGGCUCCGUGUUGUCCGCAUCUCCUCUGGACCAUGGACUCGAAGCCGCGGGUCCCUCCUACUUCUUCCCUGACGUUGACUUCCAUUGUCGCUGUCCGGAGCUCGUUGCUCUGCUCCAUCCAACCUUGCCACUUACAGCAUGGGUUUCUUAAUCGUUUAAAUAGAGUCCGGCAAUGAGGGGUAUUAUGAGUUUGAUCCACAGCUUCAUCAGGACGCUGACCAGGAAG